rfam:Botryobasidium botryosum FD-172 SS1 unplaced genomic scaffold BOTBOscaffold_24, whole genome shotgun sequence.
GGUCAGAUGGCCGAGUGGUCUAAGGCGCGAGAUUCAGGUUCUCGUCUCUUCGGGGGCGUGGGUUCGAAUCCCACUCUGAUCA